rnacentral:misc_RNA from 1 species
UUUAUUAAAUUUUGUAUUAAACUCGGACAACAAAAUAUUCAGAGUUUUAAUUUCCUCUGGCGGGAGUUGGAAAAGCUAGAAAAAGCUUACUACUACCCGCCAAAGCAACAAAAGUCAAGUACAACAAAGGGUUGAAGGUUUAACCCCCAAAAGAAGAGGGCAUAACUCUUAUUAAUGAUCCUUCCGCAGGUUCACCUACGGAAA